CCUCACCGUUGCUUGAGUAGGCGUACGUGUCCGCUUCUGAUUCUCCACCGUUUGCUUCUCCAAUAAAAGUCUUACACAGUUCCACCGUAUGUGUCCCUUUUUCGAAGUACCCACCGGGUUUCUUUAAAUCGAUCCAUUGAUGCAUCCACCGCCUUCAUUUGUUACCGCUUCCACUGCUUCAAAUCACCGACUGUUUUCUUCUCCUUCUACCAUGCCCCUCCUUCUAUCUACUCCUAAGGUUCGUUUGGUCUUCGAUCGACAAGCUCUCAAGCUUCGGGACCCGGUCUCAUGGCGGAUCGACCGACCCUUUACCUUCGUUUGUUUGAAGGUUUUCUGACUGGAAGCGCUGAAGAAUUUUGUUGGAUUUCAGUUCAGUUACGGUCUGGGUGUCAUCUGAUACAUGACAACACUGCUAUUUGUUUUGGCAACAAUGUGGAAGCUUCAUAACCAUUUGAAAAAUGUCCAAUUUGGGUUAGCUUUGUGAUUUCUUACAUUCAAAAUCAUCAAGGAAAUCAUAAAAAAAGGCUUUAAGUCUUCAUAAUAAAGGUUCAGACAUUGAUGAUGACGAAACAGCUUUUUUCGGGCUUUUCACUUUUCCUAAGAUAUUCGUUGUAGUUCCAAGCAAAAAAAUUUAUCUCGGACCUUGAAACAGGUGGUAAUGACAUCUUUUUUAAGAUAUUCUUUAACUAUUUAUGAUUUUAUCAUUAAGGAAGAAGGAAUACUACUAUUAUUUUGGAACAUUGCGGUAUGUAUUUUGUCUAUGAUUUUCAUCAAUGGUAGUUUUGUCUUUUAAAAUAUCUACUAGGUUGAGUGACUUCCUUUUUCUUUUACUUUUGUCUAUGCCUUUCAUCAAGGGUAGUUUUUUCAUUUAAAACAUCCAUUCUUCUUUUGUUUUCUUCAAGGUAAGGUUAUCGAUUUCUAUUAUUUGAGUCAACUGUCUUAUUUUAUUUCCUUCUACAUAUUUGGUCUGUACGUGGUCAAGAUGAUAAGAUUCGAGUUCUUCUUAAGAAGGCAGAUCGAGUUAAUACUCUACAAGUAAGACCUACUUUCUUUUUAUUCUUAUACUGAAUAAAUUGUGUACAUAAGACUAAAUGACUAUUUUGCCCUUAAGAUUUAAUCAUGACAUGUGGUUCUUGGGAUUUGGCAUAAAUAAGCAACAACUUAUCAUGUGGAAACUUUUUUUUGGGGGCUAAUUUCCUAAUUAUUAACCAUGUACAAAUGUUUGUAUGCAUUUUAUGUUGACACUUCAGAUUGUUACUUCUGGAAGAGUUGACUUUCACUUUUUCACUAUGUUAUCCAUUUUAGAAUAAAGAUCAAUAAAGAUUUUGUUCCAAGGGUAAUUUAGUAUUUUGUGAUCAUUUAGUGUUAGCUGCAAUUUCUCAAUGUAGUUGAAGGCUUUUUAUUUUAAUCAUUCAGGACCCGAUGCAAUAAUAGUAAUGCAUUAAUAAAUAUAUCUUAAGAAUGGAAAUAUUAUGGAACUUAAAACCUAUAGCAGCUACAUUUUCCCAUUAUAAGUUCGGUUCUAUAAUGGAUGGAUAUAAUUGUUUUAAUGAAUCAUUCAUUUAUAUAGGUCCUUAAUGCUUUGUUUAGAACCUAUGAAUGUGCUCAUCAUACCAUUUAGGAGCACAUCAUCGUUUAACUUUCUUGACUAACUUAAUUUCCCUUACCAUGCCCCGUUAUAGAAUUGUAGACACCCAGGUUAACCAAAAAGCUUCAAAUGUGAAAACAGGCUGCAACAUUAGUGGAUUACAGGAAGAUGUAUCUUAUGUAAGCAAGGUACACAUACAUAGAGUAGUAGAGUGAUGAAAUAUGAGAAAGUAACUAACAGGUUUGCUUAUGUAAUUAACUGUAACACACUUUAGUACAUCGCCUGAAAGAACACCUACAAAAUCACUUUACUUUGAUCAUUCCACUACCUUAUCACCUUAAAUUCUCUCAACUGUCGAAUUUAAUGUCCACGAGAUAAAAGGGAAUCACUUUCAUAUAGUUUUCUAUCUUUUUUGAUAAAAUAGGACUCUUUUUACUCAUACAUGUUAUGUUACAGAAAAAUUUCACAGAACAUGCAAUUGUAACUUUCUUUCUUUCUUUACUUAUUCUAUUGAUCUUUCCGUCUCCAAUUAUUGUGUUGAAGUUUCAUUUAUUUUUUUAUUACGCGGGUAACCCUACCUGAAGGAAAACUGAAUAUUUUCUUGCAUAAGUUUUGGAUUUGAAGAUUGUAUAAUAAAUAAAACCACAAAUUAACUACAAUAAGAACUACUAGGUGCUACCAAAAAACUGUUAAAAAAGAGUGCAGGGUGUCGAUAUUUAAAAACCCCAUUUUUAUUUGAUCCGAUUUGGCGGACGGGUUAUGGGUAAACCAAUUGAGUUCAAACACCCCCUUACAUCCUUUAUUUUUCCAUCAUUUUUUGUAGUAAAGUUAUGACCCCAUAAUCUGUCAUGGUAAGUUUCAGAUGUUUCGUAGUUUGGAAAAACUAAUGUGUCGCACCGCAGAUUUAAACAUGGAACAAAAAGAUUAUGAAGAUGAAGGACUUCCAUCAGGAUGGGAUAACACAUAUCAGCUAAAAGAAAAACUGUUUCAGCAAUUUCAACAGGUGGUGGAUUUUGGCAUAUAGUAAACAAAAUAAAGCAAUGUACUUUCAUUUUAAUGUUUCGUUUUCUGUGAUUUUGAUCAUCAAAAUACCAAUUUACAUUCAUUUUUUUACUGUGUUUGCAAAUGGGCGAAUUGCAGAGAAUAGCAAUAUAUUUUAUUGUGGUUACCAAUUAA